AAGUUUACGGAUCUCAGUUUGAGCACAAAAUGCGUCAUCCAUAUGAAGCAAAAACACCAGGAGAAGAAGAAAUAGCGUUGAAGAAACUAGAGAAGACAACAUCUUUAAUAAUUCACAAGUCUCUCUUAUAUUGAUCUGAUCACUAUGACUCGCAAUGAUACGUUUAUAUAUAGAAUAGAGAGGCAGAGAUAAGAGAGAAUUAAAACAUACGGUAGAGACUUAAUUAAGCCAAAUAAAGAAGAAGAAGGUCGAGAUAAGAAAGAGAGUGCUGAAGCUGUGGUCGACUGAGUUGUCACUAGUUGGUUUUGGUUUCAGUGGUCUCUUUACACCAUGGUUUAGUAAACUCGGUCAAGUUGUCACUAAGAGACAGUAUGGGAAAGUAAUGUAAUACACACGUUCAAAAUGAUAAGGUACGUUUAUAAGAGAGACAAAGACCAAGUCUCGAAUUCUCGAACAAACGGCCGUUUAUGCAAAAAAGGAGUGAACCAUAUUCGCUUUGAAUAUUCCGUAGGAAAAUCCAUAUUUUGGCGGGCACUGUCGCUAGAAAACGACGGCAGAACUAUUAUUUUCGUGAAAAUAUCCAUUUCUAAUGGACCUUUUCCGUUAUUACAUUAUAUUAUGAUUGAAAGUUGUGUAAUGUAUGCAAAGAUGGCUGUUAGUUUGUCAAAUGUAUGCACUCCUGAUACUGUCACACUUGAUUGAGUAAUAGCAAUAUGCAAGGCUUUGUGUGAAUUAUUUCAGUUCAGCCAAAAGCAUAAAUACCAUACCAACGGAGGCUUUUAGGAUAGGUUCUAAAAAAAAAAAUUAACAAAAAAUAAAUCAAAAAAGAAAUAAAACAAGAGAACAGCUGUCUAACAUAGGGCUUUAGGAAUUUGUAAAAACUCCAUACGUGCCCCCUUGAUAUUGGUUGUCUCUCUAAGUCCGUCAAUCAAAUUACGAGUUUGAUUCUGUGUAGAUUGGGGAUUGGGCUGAUGCCUUUGCUUCUUUGUUCGCAGGCAGCUUGCGGAGGCUGGUGUACAUGUUUUGAUGGCUGUGAGGAACACGAAGGCAGCUCAAGAGCUGAUUCAGCAAUGGCGGAAUGAGUGGUCUGGCAAAGGUCUCCCACUUAAUGUCGAGGUAUAAAGUGUUGGAACUGGUGAUGAAGAAGCUGCUGAAUCAAACAGAUACAGCAGAGUUUGUGGCCGCAUUUGCAGGGAUUUAAGACGCCAUCCACCAGAUCGGAGAGCAGAAGAAGCUAAAAAAGCAGUGCCCGACAGUUUCUUUGAAGGGAUCAGGAUCAUCUAGUUGAGAGCUACACAUUUGAGAGUAAAACUAAAAGCUGCGAUGUUGAAUCUGCCUGGUUGCAUUUUUGGAAAUUCUGUCUUCUUAGCAACUCAUAUUGUCCAUGUACAACAGUAUGAAACCUGAAACUAACAGUUUCGCUGACCAUGUCUUGAUAUAGUCAUUGGUAUUAAUUCUUUAUAAGCUAUGCAAUAUUGAUCGAUGUUAUGAACAAA